UUCGAGUUUUAGGGUUACGAAUUUUCAUCUGUUUUUUAAACUUUGAGAGAUUUGGAAUGGGGAACUCUAGAAAGCAAGAAUUUGGUGACGAUGGCGCAGAACGAGACGACGGCGACGAUUUCGAGGAUUCACUGUCGGUUUCUAGUGGCGUUGAGACGUCUACGGUUGGAUCUGGUACUGUUUCGCAAGGAAGGAGUGAGAUUGGCUUGACGGAGCUUCUAGUGGAAGAUGGAAAUGGAGAUCUGCUGCUUCAACGGCACGAUCGUGAGGAUAGGGUUUUGCAGUGGUUACAGGCUUU
rnacentral:misc_RNA from 1 species